rnacentral:rRNA from 1 species
GACGUAGGGCGCGAGCGUUGUCCGGAUUUAUUGGGCGUAAAGAGCUCGUAGGCGGCUCAUUGCGUCAACCGUGAAAACCAGCAGCUCAACUGUUGGCUUGCGGUUGAUACGGGUGGGCUGGAGUUCGGUAGGGGAGACUGGAAUUCCUGGUGUAGCGGUGAAAUGACGCAGAUAUCAGGAGGAACACCGGUGGCGAAGGCGGGUCUCUGGGCCGAUACUGACGCUGAGGAGCGAAAGCGUGGGGAGCGAACAGG